rnacentral:rRNA from 1 species
AACCUUUGCAAUGUGCGCAAGCACGACAAGGUUAAUCCGAGUGUUUCCUGCUAAAGGAAUCUUUUGCUAGUCCUAAAAACACUAGCGAAUAAGGGGUGGGCAAGUUCUGGUGUCAGCCGCCGCGGUAAAACCAGCACCUCAAGUUGUCAGGAGGAUUAUUGGGCCUAAAGCAUCCGUAGCCUGCUCUGUAAGUUUCCGGUUAAAUCCAUUAGCUCAACUAAUGGGCUGCCGGAAAAACUGCAAAGCUAGGAAGUGGGAGAGGUAGACGGUACUCGGUAGGAAGGGGUAAAAUCCUUUGAUCUAUUGAUGACCACCUGUGGCGAAGGCGGUCUACCAGAACACGUUCGACGGUGAGGGAUGAAAGCUGGGGGAGCAAACCGGAUUAGAUACCCGGGUAGUCCCAGCUGUAAACGAUGCAGACUCGGUGAUGCGCUGGCUUGUGGCCAGUGCAGUGCCGCAGGGAAGCCGUUAAGUUUGCCGCCUGGGAAGUACGUACGCAAGUAUGAAACUUAAAGGAAUUGGCGGGGGAGCAC